rnacentral:rRNA from 1 species
AUUGAACGCUGGCGGAAUGCUUUACACAUGCAAGUCGAGCGGCAGCACGGGGGCAACCCUGGUGGCGAGCGGCGAACGGGUGAGUAAUACAUCGGAACAUGCCCAGUCGUGGGGGAUAACACUUCGAAAGAAGUGCUAAUACCGCAUACGUCCUGAGGGAGAAAGCGGGGGAUCUUCGGACCUCGCGCGAUUGGAGUGGCCGAUGUCAGAUUGGCUAGUUGGUGGGGUAAAGGCCUACCAAGGCAACGAUCUGUAGCUGGUCUGAGAGGAUGAUCAGCCACACUGGGACUGAGACACGGCCCAGACUCCUACGGGAGGCAGCAGUGGGGAAUUUUGGACAAUGGGGGCAACCCUGAUCCAGCCAUUCCGCGUGAGUGAAGAAGGCCUUCGGGUUGUAAAGCUCUUUCGGCAGGAACGAAACGGCGAGCUCUAACAUAGCUUGCUAAUGACGGUACCUGAAGAAGAAGCACCGGCUAACUACGUGCCAGCAGCCGCCGUAAUAC